rnacentral:rRNA from 1 species
UNAUUCGACGCAACGCGCAGAACCUUACCAACCCUUGACAUACUUGUCGCGGAUUCCAGAGAUGGAUUCCUUCAGUUCGGCUGGACAAUGUACAGGUGCUGCAUGGCUGUCGUCAGCUCGUGUCGUGAGAUGUUCGGUUAAGUCCGGCAACGAGCGCAACCCACGUCCUUAGUUACCAGCAUUUAGUUGGGUACCCUAAGGAGACUGCCGGUGAUAAGCCGGAGGAAGGUGUGGACGACGUCAAGUCAUCAUGGCCCUUACGGGUUGGGCUACACACGUGCUACAAUGGCAUCUACAGUGAGUUAAUCUCCAAAAGAUGUCUCAGUUCGGAUUGGGGUCUGCAACUCGACCCCAUGAAGUUGGAAUCGCUAGUAAUCGCGGAACAGCAUGCCGCGGUGAAUACGUUCCCGGGCCUUGUACACACCGCCCGUCACACCAUGGGAAUUGGGUCUACCCGAAGGUGGUGCGCCAACUAUUUAUAGGG